CAUCUCUUUAAGCUCUUUAGUCUUUACUCUUACUUACUCUCUUAGAUCUACUUCUUUCUUACUUCUUAGUUCUUCCUCUUAGUCUCUUACUUUACUUUAGUUUUUUUUUUUUUUUUGUAGUUUACUUUCUAGUUUCUAGUUAGUAGCUAGCUAGUUACUUUUUAGUGCUAAUACACACACCACCAUCCACCAUCAUAACGUCUUCUUCCCAAUCUUCCUCUUUGAAGCCCAAGUCGAAUGACCUGGGUUGGAAGUAUGGGCACUACCGUAGUGCUACUGAAAAGACUCACAUAGUAUGUGAGUUAUGUGAGUAUAUGAGUUCUGGUGGCAUUGCAAGGCACAAGCAACACUUUGCACAUUUACCGGGGUCAAAUGCAAAAACAUGCAACAAAAUUACUCCAAAAAUCUGAAGGGAGAUCGUGGAGUAUAUGGAAAAACAAUCAAGAAAGAAAUGCGAUAGUGCCCUACGUCAGGAGGAAUAUAUGAAACAAAAUGCAUAUAAAGAUAUAAAUGUAGUUAAUAUAGAUGAAGCUAGUCUUACUCCCCCUACUUCGACAGGCUAGUCUAGACCACAAGUACAACCAUCGAAAAGAGCCCGAGGGCAUGGACCCAUAGAUAGAUGGUGUAGACCACACCCCGAGGAUGUGGUCGACCAAAGGGGUAGAGGAAAAGGGCCGGCUCAAACAACUUUAGAGAACCGGUAUAAACAAAAAGAUAGAAAAACCACAAUUCAAUAUAUUGCUAAGUGGUUUUACCAAACCGGCGUUGCUUUCAAUGCCGUUAAAUCGAAAAGCUUCAAAGUAAUGAUUGAGGCUAUAGGUCAAUUUGGACCUGGGCUUAAACCUCCUUCAUAUCAUUUAAAUGAGGGAGACAUGCCUAAAAACUGAAGUUGAAUAUACACAAUCCUUCAUAGCUGAAUAAAAGAAAUCAUGGAAAAUAUAUAGUUGUUCACUAAUGGCCGAUGGAUGGACUGAUAGAUCCGGUCGGUCUCUCAUUAACUUUUUGGUAAAUUGUCCAGCUAGGACAAUGUUCUUGAAGUCAGUGAAUGCGUCGGGCCAUUCACACAUAGAAGAAUAUUUGUUUAACUUACUAGAUAGUGUAGUUAAAGAAAUAGGUGAGGACUACGUUGUACAAGUAAUUACAGAAAACGCAGCCUCGUAUGUAAUGGCCGGUCGUCUUCUUAUGGAGAAGAGGCGACGUUUAUUUUGGACCCCCUAUGCGCCCCAUUGUAUUGAUCUUAUGUUAGAAGAUAUAGGUAGAUUAUUUAUAAAUGUGAUUGCAAGGGCUAGAAGAAUCACGGUCUUUAUGUACAAACACGCCCUUCUUCUCAGUCGAAUGAGAAAACACAUUGGGGGUAACUUGCUACGUCCAGUAGUCAUCCGUUUCACUACAGCCUUUUUAACACUACAAAGGCUACAUGCAAAGAAAUCAGAACUUAGAAGUUUUGUAGUGUCGGUCGAUUUUACAAGUGGGCCUUGGUCAAAGAAAGCUGAAGGGAAACGGGUUCAACAAACAAUUCUUUCUCAAAGUUUUUGGACUCAAGUGGUAAAGGCGCUAAAAUCAUCCGAGCCCUUAGUCACUGUGUUGCGAUUAGUGGACGGGGAUGAGAAGCCUGCAAUGGACUAUAUAUAUGAUGCGAUGGAGAGGGCAAAAAAUAAGAUCAUGGACCAUUUUAACCAUAGAGACUGUGAUUACAGGCCAAUUUUAGAUAUUAUAGAUAGAAGAUGGGGAAGCCAAAUGUCAUCCCCAUUAUAUUCGGCUGCUUACAUCCUUAACCCAACCUGUUUAUUCACUUCUGUUGAUCCAGCAGAAGCACUAACUAUGCAUAUGGUUGGAUUUAUUGAUGUCUUAGAAAGAAUGAUUCCAAAUAGAGGAGAAAAAGAUAAGAUCUCAACUUUGCUGGACUUCUACACAAAAAGUGAAGGGAUAUUCUCAAGGGAUAUCGUAAUAAGACAUCGGACAAUGAAAUUACCCAGUAAGUACUUCUAUGAAUGAAUGUUAGUGUACUGUCAACUUGUCUCUAAGAGACUAAGAUUCUAACCUAUACUUAAACUGUUUUUCUCAGCUGACUGGUGGGCUGCCUAUGGAGUGGACACGAACAGGAAGGAUCCAGCUCUAAAGAAGCUGGCUAUAAAGAUUCUUAGACUCACGUGUUCUGCCAGUGGUUGCAAGCGCAAUUGGAGCACGUUCGAGGUGAAUCAUACCAAGAAAAGGAAUCGCCUUGAGCAAAAAAAGCUCAACAACUUGGUUUUCGUUUAAUACAAUCAAAAAUUGCGAGAACGAUUCCAAAGUAGGAAAGAAAAACCCGGUUUCUUUGACCUUAUCUGCUUAGACGAGUUGGAUGCAGAUAACGAGUGGCUCGUAAAGACGGAGGACCCGGUAUUUCCUGGAGAAGAGCUGACAUGGGCACAAGUUGAAGAUGCCGCAUAUGAAUCGUCACCUGGUGAAGGUAGUAGUACCACUCGAAGGCGAAGGACGGGGGGGAGCCGAGGGGGGAGUAGUAGCCGUCAACCCGUUGAUGAGAUUGAGGAGAUUGAAGAAAGAAAAGGUGAUAAUGAUGAUCAAGCUAAAGAUCAUCCACCAUUGGAUGUUGAUGAAGUAUUAAUACGUACAGAUGAUGAAGAAACAGAAGAAGGAGAUGACUCGAAUGAUGAUGAUGAUGGUGGUGGUGGUGGUGGUGAACCUGGUGGUGAUGUGCCACAAUGGAUGCUAGAUCAAUGUAUAUGAUUAAUGAUUAUUGAUUAGAUAAAUAAAAUAAUAAAUACUUAACUUCUUAAUUUUGUUUAAUGCUUGUCUUAUAAGUCAUAAGUCUAAGUGUGUUGAUGUUGAUGUUGUUGA